AUGAACGCUGGCGGCGUGCCUCAUACAUGCAAGUCGCGCGAACAGACGAGGAGCUUGCUCCUCUGACGUUAGCGGCGGACGGGUGAGUAACACGUGGAUAACCUACCUAUAAGACUGGGAUAACUUCGGGAAACCGGAGCUAAUACCGGAUAAUAUAUUGAACCGCAUGGUUCAAUAGUGAAAGACGGUUUUGCUGUCACUUAUAGAUGGAUCCGCGCCGCAUUAGCUAGUUGGUAAGGUAACGGCUUACCAAGGCAACGAUGCGUAGCCGACCUGAGAGGGUGAUCGGCCACACCGGAACUGAGACACGGUCCAGACUCCUACGGGAGGCAGCAGUAGGGAAUCUUCCGCAAUGGGCGAAAGCCUGACGGAGCAACGCCGCGUGAGUGAUGAAGGUCUUCGGAUCGUAAAACUCUGUUAUUAGGGAAGAACAAAUGUGUAAGUAACUAUGCACGUCUUGACGGUACCUAAUCAGAAAGCCACGGCUAACUACGUG
rnacentral:rRNA from 1 species